rnacentral:rRNA from 1 species
UACGUAGGGUCCGAGCGUUAAUCGGAAUGACUGGGCGUAAAGGGCGCGUAGGUGGAUAUGUGUGUUGGAUGUGAAAGCCCCGGGCUUAACCUGGGAAUGGCAUACAAAACUGCAUAUCUAGAGUGGAGCAGAGGUGAGUGGAAUUUCCGGAGUAGCGGUGAAAUGCGUAGAUACCGGAAGGAACACCAGUGGCGAAGGCGACUCACUGGGCUCGAACUGACACUGAGGCGCGAAAGCGUGGGGAGCAAACAGG